UUUAUGGAGAGUUUGAUCCUGGCUCAGGAUGAACGCUGGCGGCGUGCCUAAUACAUGCAAGUCGAGCGAACGUACGAGAAGCUUGCUUCUCUGAUGUUAGCGGCGGACGGGUGAGUAACACGUGGAUAACCUACCUAUAAGACUGGGAUAACUUCGGGAAACCG
rnacentral:rRNA from 1 species